GGCAUGGCCAAGGGCAUGACCGGACACCGGAGCGAGGAGAGAGGGAGGAGAGCAGCUAGGGAUAGGUGAGGUUUCUUUUCCUUUUAUUGAGGUAGCCGUGGACCAAGAAGUAGGUGUGCGUAGUAAAGCGGUCUAAACGACGGCCGCUUCCACCGGCCCACUCACGCACUUGCGCAAACUACGCCAGAAGUCCCACGUCUACGAGCGGGUGGAGCCGCUCAGGCCGUCGCUCCGGUAGUCCUCCAGGCCGCUGAUCGCUGCCACUACCUACACGACCUCCAACCACCGCAACUCCCCCGUCAUUCCUUCGAGUGCCUCUUCCCACACCUAAAGGAUCUACUCAAGCACGUUACCUAUUACCAGCCUAGACUCCUCGCCCCGUCUCUGAACGUGACGCCGAUACGAAGUACUCUCGAUACCCCAAUACAUCUGUUUACACUCUAGCACGGUAUUCGUUUACUGUAGUUCUAGACUCGUGGCAACGUCUGCCGGAGCUCAAUAAAAGGAGAAGUAGAGGAUGUUUUACAACGAACGUACCAGUUAAACCCGUAGCCAAACAAUUCGUCGUUUUCGAGCGUACAACUUAGAUCAGUUGAGUUCAUACAAAGGUGGUCUUUUGAGUUAGCACAUCACAUACCUUACUGUACAAAUAAAUCAAAGAUGAUUAAUCAAACCUAUUGGAGACUAGUAGGCUACUUCAUUGACUCUUCUUUAAAACCAGUACAAUAAUGAAGGGUAAAAAAUAUGGAUACGUUAAUUACAAUAAACAACGACCAAAACGACACCGCGGUUCAGAUUUACUCCCUUGGAACAUUAAUAAGUUUCGUUCUAGGUACACAACUGUAUCCUACCUAAAAGAUGUUUUACGGAUAUUAUAGUCUCGAAAAGAUUAUAAGAGAAUUGACUUUUUCCGACAACCUAUCUAUCGAUAAUACUUCUUGUCUUUUGAGUAUAUAGUUCAUUAAUGUUGUACUGUACGAAGACCAUCACGAUUGAAGUCGGCAAGUCGCGGAACAAUACAUUAUGCACAGCAAUAUAACCAUCUACAGUUCACGAGAAGAGAUAGAGUCAAUACCAGACGGAAUCAAAGUCAGAUUCGAUAUAAUUAGUUGAUUAAAACACCCAUUGGAGGAACAAGCGGAUCCAAAAAAACCGAUGACAUAGAAGCUUGACUGGUGAAGAGAACAUCGUAAAAAGUAGUUGUGAAGGCCAGAACACCGGUAUUUGGAGAAACCAGUAAAAUACACUAGAGGAAUACCGACGUCAUAGUCAUGUAGAAUAAAACGGUGUUGACCGUUGACUCAGAAGUAGAAGUUCGUAACGUCAAAAAUGAAGGCGAAGUUGUACAAAGAACAAGGGUCGUAUGUAGAGAGGAAAGAACAUGUGAAUAGAACCACAUAAGUAGGAGACUCGGUAGGCUAUUAUACUAUCUAGAGAUAGUAAAAGAAAACAGUAACGUCUCAGGUACACUACAAAUACAAAAAAAAGAAGUGUGGGUAGUAGUACAUGAUAUCGGGGUAAUCAUAGCACACCAAGAAGAAUGUAUCUUUGUUUAACAGUAUAGGAAAAGACUCCACUUAGAGAUAACAAUAAACAGACGUUUUAUUUUUAUGUAAAGUUUCUAAUGUGCACAGAGAUUUUUAACUCUUCAUCAUGAGACUCUUUUAAUUAGUGGGAAAUCGGAGAUACAAUACGAAGAAACAACGAAAAAAAUUGUGCCGCAGUUGAAGUAGUACUUUUUAAGACUCUUAGUAUACACUCUACAUAAUCAAUCCUUUUAUGUUUGUGUUAUGAAGAAAACAUUACCUAUUUCCGUUUAAAAGGAGGAGCCGAAAUAGAAAGUCCAGGUAGUAGAGUUCGGAUAGUAGUGUGUGUUUACAAGAAAAAUGACGUAUCAAAAAACAAGACUUUCACUCUAACGGUAGCGACUUGUACUCGACUUUUAUUCACAAACAGCUGUAAUAAUAAUACAUUAGAAACCGCGAAGAAGUAUAAAGAGUAGGUCACUUAAAUCGUUCAAGCUCUGUUUACAUAACUUGUUAAAAAGUCGGAGUGGCAGUUUAUUUCACGUUGAACAUCAUCAACAUGUCAGUAAUUAAAUAACAGUUUAUGCUAUUGAUAGUAUGCUAACAAUAAUCACAUCUCAUUUACAUUAUCCUUUCUUCAGAAGAAGUUUAAUCAUCUUAUACGAAUGGCUCCACUAUGUAGUAGAGCUAUACAUAGUGUUGAGAGCAUUGUCAUGAACGGUUGAAGGAAGAAUAGAUCAAACACUUUUAGGAGUGUAGUGUAUAUGGUCGAAACUUAUACUAGUGAACAUCGAUAAUGACACUUGUGUUUUAGGAUUUUACUAAAGGGUUUUUAAAUCGUAUGACCUCUUUCACUCUCUGUAUUAAUUCAUCUAUACGUGAUAUUGACUAUAAAUGAUUCAACAGUAACGUCCACAACUCUCAGACCAAAAGGAGUUGUUCACCGCUAAAGUAUAGAAUCUUCUUCAGAGCGUAAUCAAGUUUAAACUUGAUUUUGGUAUUGUGAAUAAAACCUAGCUCCCUCAUACUUAAACCAUAACUAAGAACACAACUCAAGGACGUGUAAACCUCGUUUAGCUCAUAUUGUUAAUAGAAUCUAACCACUUAUUUCUACUCAGUUCUAUUUAAUCGACUCUUUAUUAUUUUCAACCAGAAAGUAUGGACAGUUGUUAAAGGGUUCAAAUACCAUAUAGAUCUAGACAUAUCUAAGAAUACUGUGAACUGAAAUUCGUAUUAGUACAAAUUAGUUUCAUUUAAGACAAUCUGUAUAAAAAUAUUAAUUAUCUUCUCGAACAUUGUAAUUACUUGAAUGGUAACUUGAAGACGUGGUCACUACUCCUUACCAACACGUAAUACCUGAAUUAGAAUAUAAUCUUAAGUUAGACCGACUUUAUACUUCCAAGCCCCAAUAAAGAAAAAUAAUAACUAAGGUGUACGAGGUAAACCCAACCAUUAGGUUACUGCAGAUAUUUUCGCCUCAAUUAAUAAACUUUCAAAGUAGAUUAAAAAAAAGGAAACAUCGUUUGAGCUUCAUCAUUUGACCCAUUGGAAGACUACUAGGAGAGUGGAGGAAAUGAAAAAAUUACAUACUUUUUAUUGAUAUAAAGUGACGAAUGAGCUUAUAUGAAUAAGGUGUUUGAAUUUUAACAAUGUAUUCAUCUAAGAGUAAAUAGAAACAAGAUAUACACAGAUAUUUAAUUUGAUGAAGGGCUAUCAGCGUUCUUAACAAACCGGUACACUUUUGUUAGUUUUGUAUGAAUCAUCAACAACAUCUUUUAUUGUCUUGUCAAGCGUUCAUUUAUAUACUACUGAUUUGGAAAAGUAGCUACUUAUAGUAUGGCCGUAUGAAUCAUCAAUUUUGUUUGUUAUCUUGUUAGACGAUUAUUUAUACGUUACCGUUUUGGAAAAGUAGAUACUUAUAGUACGGCUCCAAGGUCUCGGUUAAUUGACAUCCUAACUAACUUAAAGUAUAAGAGUAAUGAACGUGAACUUAUGUAUCAAAGCAGGAGGACAACACUUGAGCGAUACGAACAACAUACGGUAACGACGUUUUCCUAGUGUUUUAGCGAUCACUUAAUAAUUAUUACGUGGAUACUUCUAACAUACGUCUUAUUGUUAAUGUUUGGAACUACUAAGUCCGCUCUCCGAUGAGUCUUCCAUCUAACCUAGGUCUUAUUGUUAAUGCUUGGAACUACUAAGUCCACUCUUCGGUGAGUCUUCCAACGAACCCGCAGUGAUGUAGACCGAACCACUGUAAUGCAUCAACUUAACCUUCUGACUAAAACAACCAUCACACGAUCGAUCCAUCGUCUAAACCGACUGAAGUUAAAAACCCGUACACGACCCACGCCAACGAAUGCAUCAACUUAACCUUCUGACUAAAACAACCAUCACACGAUCGAUCCAUCGUCUAAACCGACUGAAGUUAAAAACCCGUACACGACCCACGCCAACGUACAUACACAAAAGUACACGGCACAAACGGAACCGUUCAGUACAAACAUGCAUCAGGCAUAUGUGCAGAAUAAACGUACGCACAGGCUCAAACUUUUUUUUACUACAGGAAUAAACGAAUCCAAGGAAUAAAUAAAUAAAUAAAUAAAUAAAUCCAAACUGAUGAUAAAAAU
rnacentral:rRNA from 1 species